UACGAAGGGUGCAAGCGUUACUCGGAAUUACUGGGCGUAAAGCGUGCGUAGGUGGUUCGUUAAGUCUGAUGUGAAGGCCCCGGGCUUAACCUGGGAAUGGCAUUUGGGACUGCAAGGCUUGAGUGCGGCAGAGGAGACUGGAAUUCCUGGUGUAGCAGUGAAAUGCGUAGAUAUCAGGAGGAAUACCGAUGGCGAAGGCAGGUCUCUGGGCUGACACUGACGCUCAUGCACGAAAGCGUGGGGAGCAAACAGG
rnacentral:rRNA from 1 species